rnacentral:snRNA from 1 species
GUGCUCACUUCGGCAGUACAUAUACUAAAAUUGGCCCCUGCGCAAGGAUGACACGCAAAUUCGUGAAGAGUUCCAUAUUUUU